rnacentral:rRNA from 1 species
UACGGGGGGGGCAAGCGUUGUUCGGAAUUACUGGGCGUAAAGGGCUCGUAGGCGGCCAACUAAGUCGGAUGUGAAAUCCCCAGGCUCAACUUGGGAACUGCAUCCGAUACUGGAUGGCUUGAAUUCGGGAGAGGGAUGCAGAAUUCCAGGUGUAGCGGUGAAAUGCGUAGAUAUCUGGAGGAAUACCGGCGGCGAAGGCGGCAUCCUGGACCGACAUUGACGCUGAGGAGCGAAAGCCAGGGGAGCAAACGGG